CAAAAAAAACAUUUACUCUAAAGCUAUUUUAAAAUAUACAUAUUUCUAUCUUCUAUGUGUGGUAUCUUAGGUUAAAUUUUUAAAUUUUCACUUUACUUUCCAAACCUUACAUAUGCAACUUAUUAUCAAAUCAUUCCUUUUCUUUCUGGAUUCACUUUUCCUCCCCUACAUUCCCAAUCCCAAGUUCAUAAUUAAAUCACUAAUCCUGGUCUUGGUCAUUGUUUUACUGGAUUUCUUUCAUCUCUUUCUCAUUGCCUUCUAAAUUUAAAUGUCUCAUUCCACUAUCCAAACCCUUUUAUAUUCAUCACCAGCUUAGAAAAUGUCUUUUUGCUCAGUGUUGGCUCUUCCUCUGAUGGUUCUCUGUCCCUUUUCAAGAUUAAUCUCUACUUUAAAUUUAUCAAAUAUAAGCUACUUAUAAAUAAGUGAUAAGUAGGACACCUGGCAUCUUCAGAACAAAAGGUAAGUGAAGGAUGUUGCCACCAAACCAAUCAAUACCCUUUUCCAGGCCAAUGUUCAGAAACCCUUCACUCAAUCCAACAGACUUUUGUGGAAUCCAACUGCUUUAGAACCUCCAGUUUCUAAAUAUACCCCACUUCCAUUUAGCUCCAACAGAUAACUAAAAUCCCAGUUACCCAAAGAUUGCUGAGCUAGUUUUAAAGUAGCUCAAGCUACUCAAGAUUGUCAUCUACCAGCAAGAGGAUGAGUGCAGGGGAUACAGGGAUGAGGGAAUCUCAAACUCUACAACUGCUUCAGGACAGAAUUAUCUUCCCCUUCAAGAAGAGACAAGAGUUCAAAGAUGGAGCUAUGAGGCAUGAAUAGAGAACCAGAAAGAAAAAGGAAGCAGUGUGGAGACAAUGGAAAGAACAUAUCUGUGGAAGACAGGAGACCCUAAUUUAAAAUCUUCCCUCUUAUGUUGAUCAUCAGGCUCAUCUUGAGAGAAUCACUUAAUCACGAUCAAUAUCAGGCUUGUCAACUGUAAAAGGAGGGGAUUAGACUUGACUUCUGGGAUUUUUACCAGCUCUUAACUCAGAACUGAUGUGCAGUUCCAGAGAAAAGUUCUGCCAAUAAAGGAGAUGAGCAAGA